CCAGACUCCUACGGGAGGCAGCAGUGAGGAAUAUUGGUCAAUGGGCGCAGGCCUGAACCAGCCAAGUCGCGUGAGGGAAGACUGCCCUAUGGGUUGUAAACCUCUUUUAUAAGGGAAGAAUAAUGACUACGUGUAGUCAGAUGCCCGUACCUUAUGAAUAAGCAUCGGCUAACUCCGUGCCAGCAGCCGCGGUAAUACGGAGGAUGCGAGCGUUAUCCGGAUUUAUUGGGUUUAAAGGGUGCGUAGGCGGACAGUCAAGUCAGCGGUAAAAAUGCGGUGCUCAACGCCGUACAGCCGUUGAAACUGGCAGUCUUGAGUGGGCGAGAAGUAUGCGGAAUGCGUGGUGUAGCGGUGAAAUGCAUAGAUAUCACGCAGAACUCCGAUUGCGAAGGCAGCAUACCGGCGCCCGACUGACGCUGAGGCACGAAAGCGUGGGUAUCGAACAGGAUUAGAUACCCCAGUAGC
rnacentral:rRNA from 1 species